AGUCUGUUCUCUGAGCUGCUGGAGAACAAGGGCAGCUCAGGCCACCCCAAACCUCGGGAGAUCGAUGGUGUCAGCAGCUGAUGAUCUAAUUCGGGAUUAUUUGGGUCAGACUCUUUUAUCCCAGACACACAAAGGAGAUGAACACGACCCCUCUGACAGAGUUAACCAGAAGUUAUGAGCAUUAAUUUCCUGCCUCCCAGCACUGGUUGCCUGACUGUCUUGAGCUGAUGCCUGAAGCACAUUGAGGACAAAAGGAGCUGCAGACAGAGG